GACAGAGGGUGCGAACGUUGUUCGGAAUUACUGGGCGUAAAGCGCGUGUAGGCGGCAGCGCAAGUCGGGCGUGAAAUCCCACAGCUCAACCGUGGAAGUGCACUCGAAACUGCGCAGCUAGAGUCCUGGAGAGGAAGGUGGAAUGCUUGGUGUAGAGGUGAAAUUCGUAGAUAUCAAGCGGAACACCGGUGGCGAAGGCGGCCUUCUGGACAGUGACUGACGCUGAGACGCGAAAGCGUGGGGAGCAAACAGG
rnacentral:rRNA from 1 species